AACUCCCUCUUCUUCUCUGCAACUUUCUCUUUCUCCAUACUCUGCAAUUUUUUCGACUUGAUCUUUAUGUCAAGUCGACCAGACGCUCUUCCUACUGUCGAUUGUCCAUCAAGUUUUUCCUACUUUAGCCAAAUGCCGCCGAAAUCAACCAAGAAACCCUUGUCUGAAUUCCAAGAAGAAUUAGAAUUGAAAUGAUUUAAGCUUUCGAUUCCAGAGAGUUCUUCACCGACCGCUUCUCUAUAUUACAACUGGCUCACAAAGGAGAAAUGAAAUGCGAAUAGAAUUGUCGUUACGCUGGGACAACUACAAGCAGGUUUACCUAUCCCUAUUUAUGAUCCAGAUAAUCCUUUAUUCUAUCAAAUUCUUUCACAUAUGAAGCCAUAACGAGGAGUGUUUCAAUUAUGUGGUAAUACCAUUCACAUUCUCCGUGAGUUCUUCCUUCGCGCAUCAGGUGAAUGUUCUUCAUGCUCUAGCUAAUCCCUACAACCCCAAGGACUACACCGUCGAGUCCUUCUUCAAACAAUAUAAUAUUCACUUUGUCUCUCGCAAAGAAUCGCAUUGGGGUAUUCGCUUUAAUCGAUCAACAAGGAUUGAAAAGGAGGAUAAGCUUAUGCAUGAUGUGGUUUUCACAGCAGCAAGAACUCCAAUCUUCGCUUUUCUAAUGAUGAAUCUUGGAUACGGUUUCCUUUGAUUAUUGAAGGACCCUUUGUUUGGGGAAAAUCGACGAUGGAUCUGCUCACCUAGGUCCUGAUGAAGGUCAUAUAGUGGAGGUUUAGAGUCCUUGGUCUUUUCACCCGGCUGAGAAGUCUGAUAAUGUAUUUUUCUCGACUUCACAUUUUCAUUUCCUGUUUCUCUAUUAUAUUCCAUGCGAUAUACUUGAAUUUUUGAUGUUUUCAGCUUGAUGGAGUUUAAGCUCGCCCACAGAACAAGGGCUAAAGGAGUAAGAAAUACUAAUUCGUGUAAUUUUUUCAUUUUUCAAAAACAAAUAUUGUUGCCUCUAUUUCUUAUCUGUUUUGGUUUGAGAAGGGGAUUGCUGGGGGGACUUCAUCUCAUCCCAAGGAAAAAAGGAAACGUUAUUCUCCCAAAAUUUAUGUGAAUGUGGAUCUAAAGGUUGGUACCCUUAAAGAUGCACCAGGUUGUCAAAAGCGUCUUGCGAAGACUAAGAAAAGGGAAAUCAUCCACCCUGCCCCUUCCUUCACAUCCUUCUGAUGGAGUUCCUGAAACUUCUACUCCUACUAGUGAGGUCCCCAUUACUGAAGAGCUCAUUACUGAGUCUUAUGUUGUGAAAGAGUCUCAAAUCGCUGAAUCCUCUGCGAAGGAUAAGAAUGCCUCUGCAAAUCAACCAAAUACUUCCAAUGUUAAUGACUCGCAAAUCAACCAAAUACUUCCAAUAAGACAACUUGCGUGAAUGAGAAUGAAUCUUCUUUAAAUGAGAAGCGGAUGCUUGGGUCCGAUGCCUUCGCCUUUAGGACUCAUUUGUCGAUAUUGAGUAUAUUACUAGGAUCUUCAAUACGGGAAAAUCUUCUAGCAAUGACCCGGAUUUCUCCCAAGUUUGCAAUGCGUUGACAAAGUUGGGUUCUAAAUCUUCUCCAAACAAACAAACCACACGUGAGAUUGCCUCUGCCAUAAAUUUAAGGCAGCACUGCGCCUUGGACUAUAUGGAGGGUCUUCGUCGCUUGGUGCAAUUGGAUCAAAUUUCCAAGCUUCAAGGGGAAGUAUCUAAACUUCAGGGAGACGUGUCCCAGCUUCUAGGGGAACUAACUGUUGAAUCAAACGAAGUUUCUAAGAUUUCUACGAAAAAUCAAGAGCUUAAAGGAGAGAUCAUCUUGUAUGUCGCAUUCAUUACUCCCUCUUGUGUUUCAGUUCUUGAUUUUAGGUUAUUCGUAUACAAAGAUCUUAAUCGAAACCCGUAAAUGAGUGCUAUGAAUUCCAAUUUGCUGCUGAAGAUGAUAUUGCCGAGAGUGCGAAUUUGAAAAGUCAAGUGGAUCAUCUAAACUCUGCACAUUCAUAUCUAAGAGACCACAUCGAUAAUUUGAAAGUUGACAAUCUCGACUUAAAUAGACGAGUUGUUGAGCUUAACUCCCAAGUGAAUCGCCUCACAAGGUUAUUGUAUAAUUCUGAUGAGCUGAAUCGAACCCUAAGAGAUGAAGUUCGCACUCUAAUGAAAGAGAAACUUGUAUUGGUGCGUGAUAAAGCUUCAUUCGGCCUUGAAUAUGUAAAAGCACAAAAGGUUUGCAAGAAUCUCAGAAGUCAACUUCAUGCUCAGAAGAAUCUAGUCUUUAAUUUGGAAAAAGAUAAGAAAGUUCUAUCUCGCGUAAAUAAGACCUCUUUCAACAGGCAAGUAAUACCUCAACAGGAUGCUAAUAAGACCCAAAAAUAAAUUUAAAACCUCUAUCUAGGGAGGCUAGGUACCCAAUCUUUAACGUCCACCCUAGUUCGCACAUGACGCAAGAGGCACAAUUAUGUGAUACCUAACGCGUGUCAUAUUAGGGAACGUCGGCGUCAUAUCGGGGAGCAUGAGCUCGCUUUCCAUAUCGCUGAUAUUCUUCGCAUCUUGUGGUGACUUCUUUCGCAUCAUCAUACAUAUAAGGCCAGAAAUAACCUUGUCUUUUGGUUUUAUGUGCUAGAGAUCUUGUCCCACUAUGGUUACCUGCAUCUCCACAAUGUAUAUCUUUUUUUUCGGAUUCAUGAACCUAUUGAAUGGAUACUAAUCGUGCGACCUACUUCAACGGAAC